AUUGAACGCUGGCGGCAUGCUUUACACAUGCAAGUCGGACGGCAGCACAGAGAAGCUUGCUUCUUGGGUGGCGAGUGGCGCACGGGUGAGUAAUAUAUCGGAACGUACCGAGUAAUGGGGGAUAACUAAUCGAAAGAUUAGCUAAUACCGCAUAUUCUCUGAGGAGGAAAGCAGGGGACCUUCGGGCCUUGCGUUAUUCGAGCGGCCGAUAUCUGAUUAGCUAGUUGGUGGGGUAAAGGCCUACCAAGGCGACGAUCAGUAGCGGGUCUGAGAGGAUGAUCCGCCACACUGGGACUGAGACACGGCCCAGACUCCUACGGGAGGCAGCAGUGGGGAAUUUUGGACAAAGGGCGCAAGCCUGAUCCAGCCAUGCCGCGUGUCUGAAGAAGGCCUUCGGGUUGUAAAGGACUUUUGUCAGGGAAGAAAAGGCUGUUGCUAAUAUCGACAGCUGAUGACGGUACCUGAAGAAUAAGCACCGGCUAACUACGUG
rnacentral:rRNA from 1 species